GACGAACGCUGGCGGCGUGCUUAACACAUGCAAGUCGAACGGAAAGGCCCUGCUUUUGUGGUGUGCUCGAGUGGCGAACGGGUGAGUAACACGUGAGUAACCUGCCCUUGACUUUGGGAUAACUUCAGGAAACUGGGGCUAAUACCGGAUAGGAGCUCCUGCUGCAUGGUGGGGGUUGGAAAGUUUCGGCGGUUGGGGAUGGACUCGCGGCUUAUCAGCUUGUUGGUGGGGUAGUGGCUUACCAAGGCUUUGACGGGUCGCCGGCCUGAGAGGGUGACCGGCCACAUGGGGACUGAGAUACGGCCCAGACUCCUACGGGAGGCAGCAGGGGGGAAUAUUGCACAAUGGGCGGAAGCCUGAGGCAGAAACGCCGCGGGCGGGAUGACGGCCUUCGGGUUGAAAACCGCUUUAGCCUGUGACGAAGCGUGAGUGACGGUAAUGGGUAAAGAAGCACCGGCUAACUACGUG
rnacentral:rRNA from 1 species